CUAGCGACUUCAGAGUUUGAUCCUGGCUCAGGAUGAACGCUAGCUACAGGCUUAACACAUGCAAGUCGAGGGGUAGCACGGAGGAAGCUUGCUUCCUUGGGUGACGACCGGCGCACGGGUGAGUAACGCGUAUCCGACCUACCCAUAACACGGGCACAGCCGAUCGAAAGAUCGAUUGAUUCCCGAUAUGUUAUAUAAGUAGAUUAUAUAAUGAAAGAUUCAUCGGUUAUGGAUGGGGAUGCGUAAGAUUAGGUAGUAGGCGGGGUAACGGCCCACCUAGCCGACGAUCUUUAGGGGUUCUGAGAGGAAGGUCCCCCACACUGGUACUGAGACACGGACCAG
rnacentral:rRNA from 1 species